GGGGUCGCGUCCUAUCAGCUUGUUGGCGGGGUGAUGGCCUGCCAAGGCUUCGACGGGUAGCCGGCCUGAGAGGGCGACCGGCCACAUUGGGACUGAGAUACGGCCCAGACUCCUACGGGAGGCAGCAGUGGGGAAUAUUGCACAAUGGGCGCAAGCCUGAUGCAGCGACGCCGCGUGCGGGAUGACGGCCUUCGGGUUGUAAACCGCUUUUGAUUGGGAGCAAGCGAGAGUGAGUGUACCUUUCGAAUAAGCACCGGCUAACUACGUGCCAGCAGCCGCGGUAAUACGUAGGGUGCAAGCGUUAUCCGGAUUUAUUGGGCGUAAAGAGCUCGUAGGCGGUUCGUCGCGUCUGGUGUGAAAGUCCAUCGCUUAACGGUGGAUCGGCGCCGGGUACGGGCGGACUGGAGUGCGGUAGGGGAGACUGGAAUUCC
rnacentral:rRNA from 1 species